UGGCCGUGAGGGGCAGCUCAGCGCAAUCCACAAGUUGCUGCGCGAGAAAAGGCGGGAGGAGAGAGAGAGAGAGAGAGGGCGAGGGCAAUUCAGAAAAUCCAGCAGCCUCCUUCCUCAACUUCAGCAUCCUUGUUUCACGUACAGCCUUCUCAGCAUGGAUUCAAGAUGCAAGUCCGGGUUGAUCCAAAUAAUCUGACGCACAUUUAGGAUUACCAUAUGUGAUCAACAAAAUUUAGACGGCAAGGAAAAGUUUCUAUGCUGCCAUCCCAUGGCCAUAUAUGGUAACUAAGCAUGCCUAUCUGCAUAGAAUCAGGCAGAUAAUAUUGCAACCACCUCCUUACUGUAUUUCUAUCAUAAUAAUGCAAUUUUUCUCAUAAUAAUCUAACCACAUAUCAUCGCACUGGGAUUCAUCACAUUAUUCAUUCAUUGUUUGCUUUAUAAGUCUUUUUUAGAACCUAAAACAAGGUGUAUCUUGGGAACAUUGAUUCAUUGACUAGAAGGAUCAACUCAUGAUGGCAGAAAGUUGGGCUCAGUUUAUAAUGUCAUAGGUGAGCCAGGAAUAGUUAUAGGAUUCAUUUUGACCUUAAGCAUGAAUAUGUUCAGGCAACUCAUGCUCCCAGAUAGCAAUAGCACUUAGACUUAUAUACUUCCCCAUAGUGCUUUACAGCACUUUCUGGGUGGUUUACAAUAUCCGCAUGUUGCCCAUCGGGUAUUUUUGAUAAAAGAACUACAUCAUUCCAAUGCUGGAAAGGCUGAUCAAAGUGGAAGCCUCCAAAAUUUAGAGGCCACGACUUGUUUCCGAGACAAUAGUUAUAUGGUUGAAAUUUAAUAAGAUUUGAUUUUGGACCAAGAUAUAGGAGAUGUACUGUAUAGCAUAUUGUUUCAGACAAGGCUUUUAAAUUGCAAAGACCUUACUUCAUUCCUGGAAUCUUAUGGAGAACCUAUAUGAAGUUGCCUGCCAUUUCAAUCUUCUCAUGGUCUCCUACUUCUUCUGGAAGCACAUAAAAUCAGUAGGAGUAUUAGCAUUAAAAGCAUUUUCUUAGAUUGCUGGGCUCAUUCUUUAGAAAGAAACAUGAAUAUUAUCAGACGUGUUCCAGAUAGGUUGCAUGUUGCAUUUCUCUUCUAGGUGCUUGUAUUUACAAAAGCUGUAGUUUGUGCUAUAGGGGUUUUUUUUGCCUAUCCCAAGUGGCUAAAUAAGGUUUAGCUAAGGGGUAGCCCAGUGAUAAAUGGAAGAAAAUAGUCUGCCUUUCCUACCUGGAGCCCUCUAUUUGAGUUAAAUCUCACUUUCCAUUAUUUCCAGCUUUAAGGUUGGUUAAUUUAAUGUUAGUUGAGAUUACAGCAAUUUAACUCUGAUAAAUACAGAAGGCACCAAGCUGGAAAGGGUCAUUCCAUCAAGUGAGCAGGAAUAUUGCAUAUCCAUUAACUUCUAUUGACUAUUUGUUUUACAAAGAUUGGGCAUAUAUGUUCCUACAUCUGUUAAGCAACAGGCCCUACAUUAUUCUACACUGACAGAAGAUGAUAUCCCCUCCUGCCAUUAUCCUUUUCUAUGUUUUAGUUUAGCAGCAUACAGUACAUGACCAUAUUUUGGGCUCAUUCUAUUGGCAAUAUAGCUGAACACAGGCCACAGAUUAAUGCAGUGCUUCAGUAAUAUUCCUGUCAGAAUAAGCCAGACAUUUUAUCUUGGUCCAAGUCCACAGUCAUAGAAUAUCCAUACAAAAGCAACAGAAUGGCCUUGAAACAGAUUAUAUUAUAGGAAGAAAACUAACUCUAGUAGAACAAAGAUAAGCACAACAGCAGAUAUGAGUCUUAACACAGAGAGACUCGAUGGAUCAAUUGCUCAAGGCAUCUAACACUUAUUCCCCUCAUACCCCAGUUGCUGAUUAGCAAAAUGCCACAAUGAAAUACUGUUACAUAUUUUCACAGAAAUAAUGACAGGAGUGCCCUUUUGUGCUCCACCCCACCCUCCCACCCCAUGGGCAGCUCAGCAGGAUGUAGUCACUAAUCAGACACUAAAAAAUUAUAAAUAUAUCAAAUAUACAAUAAAAUAUAUCUGUACAGCACUGAGAAUGAAAAUAGUUCACUGAUCACUUUGGAAUAUGUUUCUCAUUUAACAGAAUUUACACCAACAUUUACAGAAUAAAUAUACAAUGGAAAUAGAAUCUAUAGAUUAUUGUCUUCUCUCUUUAUAUAUAUAUAUAUUAUGUACAAACAACCAAUAUACGUUCCUUUGUCUUCCCACUGCCACUAAUCAUACACCACAAACAAGAACGAAGGAAAUGCUAUGGAUCCAUUGUGGAAACACUUUACCUAGACUGGCUUCUCCUUGAGAAGCCAAUAGAGGGGCUUUGCAUGAAAUUAGCUCCAGUCAACCCAAUGGCCCUUCAAACAUGUCCCAAGGUGCACAGAGCAAAUCAAGAAUUCUGGGAAUCUCUGACAAUUUCCUUCCAUGCAAAAGAAGAAGUCUUCAGGAGAGGACAAUAUGGAGAGGAAGGGGAAACUCUGUAUUCAGCAAUUAGCUUCUUCAGUGAUUGCCUUUUCACAUUUUGCAUGAUCUCUAGACAACAGGGGCUGGGUGAUAUUUUUUUCCCCUUAAUGGAGUCCAGAGGGUGGGGGUGCGGGUGGGACUAUCAAAAGAUAAAUAAAAAGGGAAUUGAGUCUUCUAGCAGAUUUUUUUUUUAUCCCUAUUGGAUUCAUUCUUUUUUUUAUGACUCAUAAAAAAAUCAAGUGGCAUCUCCUUCACCUUAAAACAUAAUAUCUUUAUAAAAAAAGAAAGCAGUCCAUUUAAUUGCUUCCAUCACAAGCUCAUAUGAUCUCUGCUUAUAGUCUUGUCAAAGACAUACAGAGAAGUCAGAAGAGGAAUCAAAGAACAGGAAACAAAAAUCUGCUGAAACCAAUAAUUAUAACACUAUUCUGAAAAGAACCUUUGUCCUAGAACUGCCAGUGUCUAUAGUAUAAUGAAGAAAAAGUAAGAAGGCUUAAUGAAAACUACAAGGCCACCCUUGAUUGUCUUUCACAUCUUAACCAACUAAUAUCCUUAAUUUCUAAAAUAGCAGUCAUCACAAAAGAUGUUUCUAAGAGAAAGUCCACUCUGAACCUUCUUUAACUGCAGCAUUGCUUCUAAUUAAUUGAUUCCAGCAGUGACAAUUACUCUAUCUUAAUCACCUUGAAGUCAACUGUGAUUUUUUGUAGUCUGAAAAUAAACUUCACUGAUCUAUAUAAGACUUAUUUCUAGUGUCUAUAAAACUGUUUAUGCUUUGAAAAAAAAAGGAUGCAAGUGCUCGAAAUCAGACAAGUAUAGUUACUAUUAUUUUUUGAAGCAGUCCAGCUUUUCCAACUGUCUGUACAAACCUGGAGAAAGAUGCUGCUCUUUAAAUUUAUAUAGAAGCCUUAAAAAGUUAGGGAGCGGGGUUAAGAAAUAGAAUACAAGCUUUUUCUACUUUGUGGGCACUUCUUUCCAUUUUUUUUCAAAGCAUGCAAAACCUGCCUUUUUGUACAAUUGUCAUAACUACCAAUUCAGGGUAUAUGAUAGUUAAAAACAGAAACUGCCAUAAUUCUUAUCCUCCUGAUCAUUAGCUGCUUUGAAUCAGGUUGUUUCAAAUUUUUGUGUUUUAGAAUAUAGAAUUACAUAGGGAAAUGUUAACAUAGUAAUAUCUGGAUGAGUAUUUAACUCCAGUGGGUGGAGUGAAAAGUAGUCCUAUAGUCUUAAAAAUGAUUGCAAGUGCUUCUGCAUACUGUUUGAUUCAUAUUCUUAGCCUGUUGUGAUAUAUCUGCAUAAAUGACUGGAGAAAAGAGUGAAGGGAAAUUGGAAAUUGACCAACCUUGUAAUGAAAAUGGAAAAACAAUGCCAUACACUGGUACCCAUUUGUUUCUUUGAGCAAGUGGUUUACCUAAAGAAAUGCUCAAGAGAUUACAACUUCAGAUGAUGCAUUAAUGUGCCUUUUCUCUUCUGUAUAUAGGAUCUAAAUGAACAGAUUGAUUUUAAAAAAGGAAAAUAAAGAUUAACAAUUAGAAAAGACCCAUUGACAGAGUAAGCUGCUUGCUUGGGACCAACACGUGACCUGCAAAAAGAGAGACUUCAUAGCAGAUUACUGCUGGUGCUGAGGCACUAUAACCUGGUGGAUUGACUGCUAGCUGAAUUAUACUGGCCGUCAUCAAGCCAGCCAUACAGAUGGGUGAAAUAUACUUCCAUGUAUAAAAAUAGUAGCUGGAAGGCCGGAAACCCAGCAUUUCUGUUAAUUCCUGCAUGAAUCUAAAAAGGGAGAAGGAAGAAAGUGAACAGGUGAAGCACAAAUGCCAGAUUUCUGUCUUCUUAUUUCACACUGGAUGGAGAAAUCCAGAAAUCAAAAAACUUUGCUGGCAUUAGAAAUCUAAAGAAGAAUCAAGAAAUCUGAGGAUUUUGUGAUCAGCAGGAUGAAACAGACCUGAGCUAUUGUCUUUUUGUUGGAAUGGAAGACUGUGCUAUGCUACACUCUUAACAUAACAGAAAAAGAGAGCAACAUUAUUCCUUUCAGAUACAGGCAAAUGAAUACUUUGUGCUUCUCACAGAAGGAAGAAAAAAGAACUUUGACAUGCAUCAACAGGCAGAUCUGGAUACUGCACACAAAAGCUUUAUUUUAUGAACCAGUAUAGAAUGGAGUUGCAAAAAAAAACACCUAUCCAGAUGUUCAGCUGUUCUUAACACUGUGAAAUAAGAAAAGAGAAACUGCUACUAUAUAUGGCAAAAUAUUCUUCUCACUGAGCGUAUGACAUAGAAGCAAUAUUGCGUAAUAUUUUAAAACAAUAUCAGCAUUCAUCAAGAAGAGGAGAGAGUUUUCUAUUUGUUUCAGGGGAUUAACGUUCCUAAAUAUAAUAGCUAUAGAAAGUUCUUAAUUCUUCAGUUGUUCUGCUUUAAAGACUGCAUGGCUUAAAUAUUGCAUCAUACUAAGCAAAAGCUGUGCAUCCCUGCAAUGAAUGCCACAAGCACUGAGAGAACCUAAACUUUUACCAAAUUAAAUUGCGCACAUUCUAUUUCAAUUUAAUUGGGGAAAAUACUGCAAUUGAUUGUAUGUAUCAGCCCCAGGUACUAGUGAUACAGCAAGUUCAAAGACUUGUUAAUGUCUCUUAGCAACCAGCAGCCUAAAAUAGAAUGGACCUGGAUGAGAAAAUGUGAGAUCUCAAAAGGAAUGAAAUAAUCAGGUGAGGAAGCAAAAUAGCCCUUAAUAUUUUAUUGCUAAGUAUUUUUAUUCCCUUGUGAAGUCACAGAAAUCCACUGGCACGUCACUUCUGGAAGUCAUUGUCAUUUGAGCUGGUUUUCUUAAAUAUGACCAAUCAAAAUUGGUGCUAGACUUGGUGCCCCUUCUGUUUUAAUAGAUUUUUAUAUUUUUCAAUAACUGACAUAAACCUAUGAAACAGUCAAAGACUAUGCAUUUGGAGAUUUUGAUCUGAUUUCUGAAAAUUCUGUACAAAUAUGUUCAUUUUUCUGUUCAUUAUUCCAACAAUAUACCAUGUUUUUUUCCUCAUUUUAUAUACAUUCAUAUUUAUUCCAGAUUUUAUCAGAGUAUAUCAUUUUAAAAUCUCUUUUUUGCUGUGGUUGAACGUUCCUGCAGAUAUCUGCUCUUUUAAGAUGUCCCCUCUCUGAAUAUUUGAGAAGAUACCGCCUCUUCAAAAUAUUCUAAGGUUCUUUGAUAAAGUCCUUAUAUUAUUCAAAAGGAUAUAAAAUUUAGGUUUACACUUCCCUUGGUCUGAAUAUCCCACUGAAGAAUUAUCUCAAUGCACAGAGCAGAUAUAAGAUAUAAAACAACUGAUAAUAAAAAUGGUAAUUAUAUUAUUAA